AUUGAACGCUGGCGGCAGGCCUAACACAUGCAAGUCGAACGAGUGGCGGACGGGUGAGUAAUGUCUGGGAAACUGCCUGAUGGAGGGGGAUAACUACUGGAAACGGUAGCUAAUACCGCAUACCAUCGGAUUUGCCCAGCUGGGAUUAGCUAUUAGGUGGGGUAAAGGCUCACCUAGGCGACGAUCCCUCGCUGGUCUGAGAGGAUGACCAGCCAAACUGGAAAUGAGAUACGGUCCAGACUCCUACGGGAGGCAGCAGUGGGGAAUAUUGCACAAUGGGGUAAAGCCGGAUGCAGCAAUGCCGCGUGGAUGAAGAAGGCCUUCGGUUUGUAAAGUAUUUUAAGCGGGGAGGCGUUACCGGAAGAAGAAGCACCGGCUAACUACGUGCCAGCAGCCGCGGUAAUUC
rnacentral:rRNA from 1 species